CGAAAUCGCAGGAGAAAGAGAGAGUGCGGCAGAGAGAAAUGGGGAAGAAGGUCGGGCUCGACCUAAUAAAAUGAGGGGUCCGACGGAAAUUAUCCGUCGGAAUUUCCUCGGAAAUAUUUACUAUAUCCGUCGGAAUUUCCUCGGAAAUCAUUAAUUCAAUUUUCGCGAAAUAUUUGGCGGCUUGGUUUACCCGGUUAAAUGAAAAUAUUCCGAGGAACCAGGUUUCCUCGGAAUUUCCUCGGAAUUUACCGAGGAAAUUCCGAGGAACCAGGGUUUGGGGUUUCAAAACAUCGAUUAUUU
rnacentral:lncRNA from 1 species